UUCUGAAAGUUUGAUUCUAU
rnacentral:piRNA from 1 species